UAGGGAAUCUUCCACAAUGGACGCAAGUCUGAUGGAGCAACGCCGCGUGAGUGAAGAAGGUUUUCGGAUCGUAAAGCUCUGUUGUUGGUGAAGAAGGAUAGAGGCAGUAACUGGUCUUUAUUUGACGGUAAUCAACCAGAAAGUCACGGCUAACUACGUGCCAGCAGCCGCGGUAAUACGUAGGUGGCAAGCGUUGUCCGGAUUUAUUGGGCGUAAAGCGAGCGCAGGCGGAAUGAUAAGUCUGAUGUGAAAGCCCACGGCUCAACCGUGGAACUGCAUCGGAAACUGUCAUUCUUGAGUGCAGAAGAGGAGAGUGGAACUCCAUGUGUAGCGGUGGAAUGCGUAGAUAUAUGGAAGAACACCAGUGGCGAAGGCGGCUCUCUGGUCUGCAACUGACGCUGAGGCUCGAAAGCAUGGGUAGCGAACAGGAUUAGAUACCCUGGUAGUCCAUGCCGUAAACGAUGAGCGCUAGGUGUUGGGGACUUUCCGGUCCUCAGUGCCGCA
rnacentral:rRNA from 1 species